UGGUACCUAGGAGAUGUUCGCUACACCAGCAUAAUGAAGCCUAUCCUGACCCCUGCGUUCUUCAAGUCCAACUCUAGAGCAGGUCUGCCCAAAGGAGAGGAGUAAAUAGGGCCUAAGUGAAUGCAGAGGGGGACACCCUGAGAUCCUGACAGCACAGCCUCGUUCAGGAUGACUUCACAGUUGAAGCGAAAGGCAGCAGUCCAUAGGCUGCUGUGCAGCUGCCGACAAAGAUGGAGCAGAGCACAUGCAUCAGUCAGGUGCUGUCAACAGAAGUGAAGUACUGCUGAAGAGAUGCCACCAAAGCACCAAAUGUUUCAGAGCCUUCAAUGCAUAACCUCUAUCUGGAGGAAGGUGGGGGAAAGGAAGAGCUACCAUGCCGUUGGCAUGAGGGCUGGAUGAACUGAGAAUCCCAACAUGGAUGAGAACCACUCUGGUGGAGCUGAAGGAUGGAGCCAAUGGGCACACUCACGGUGCCAGUUCGUGACUUUCCAGGCGCAGAGGGAGAGUGGCUGCAGAUGCUAAACUGAUAGGCAUGUAGCCACCACACCCAGUUUGGGAUGGAGAACUUUGGAUGUUAACUUGCUAAUGAGAGGGUCCGCAAAGAUACUGGAGUAGAACGGCGACACAUGCUCACAGGAAGUACCCUGGCCCUAAAGGACCAUCCCCAUCAACCACACCAUCAGACCUGGCUGGUGUGGCUCCAUCUCCCUCCAUCCCUCCAUCAUCCAGGGCAGCUUUCUAAAGAUAGACAGAAGGCUCCUGCAGGACGCUCAUUCUCCACUCAUUAACAGCGAUCA